UUGCCCAACCGGUGAAAGGGAGCCAUCAUUUAAGUUGGGCGGUGUGAGGAAGGAAAGGGCUGAAAAUCCCUUUCUGGAGAACAAGUACAUUCUCACAAAACAUGGGUAGGGGUUCUUUUCUCUACACAUUUGCCAACAGGCAUCUCUUCGUUCGGUUCAUCAGUCCUUCUGAGCCUUUCACUCUCUCCCUCGUCCCAGCCCUGAUACUGUGAGACGGGGACACCCAGAGAACUCAAUCAGAACUCUUACACAAACACAGUAACAGGCAUCAUAUCCACAAAAGCAAAGACACAACAAACACCCAGAAGAUGGGUUCUGAGGGCCAGACCCAGCCCUGAGCCUAGGAUGACGAGGGUCCUAGAAGUGACAAGACCUGGGGGAUGUGAGUCCCUGUGACCACAGGUGCUGGUGGGACAGGGUUCCACUGAGGGACAAGGUCAGAGGAGCAGAGAUGUGACCCGGCCGAGGAGUGGCCACGUCAAAGCCCACGCUGCACUGAGCACCACCUGGGCACAGGCACCGACCUCACUCCGGUCUCACAGCCCCUCCAGCACUCCCUGCAAAGAGCACAACAUACACAGGAAUCUGCAGAAUCCUUGGUGCCUCCAUUUAUUUCCUCUGAGAAAAUACUUAAUUAAAGGAUCUCCUUCAAUUACCCGACACCAUUCAGGGCAAGAAUUAAAAAACCAGGUCAAUCCAGAUUCUCAUUUCAAUUCGGAGCA